CAAAUAACUAUUACAAAUUAUCCUUCUGACGAGGUGGGGGGAUAAAUAGUCCUUAAAGGACUUACAUCAGUAAGAACACCCUCGCCUACAUUAUUUCUACUUGCAGUCACAUCUGCAGGAAGCUCAGGAAGCUCAGAAUCCCUUGGAUCAGAGCCCUCAACGUUUACAACAGGAGCUAUCUCUGACUCAAGAUGGAGAUCCUCCUUCUCAGAGUUAGGGUCAUCCUUCCCUGACUCAGGGACUUCCACGUCCUCCCCCUCCAGCUCGGACUCUUCCGAAGAAGACUCAGCAGGCCGGCAUAUGUCCCUCCGGCAAUCUCCUCGGGGCAUAGGGAAAUCAUCCUCCCCAUACAGCACUG
rnacentral:lncRNA from 1 species